GACGAACGCUGGCGGCGUGCUUAACACAUGCAAGUCGAACGGAAAGGCCCCCUUGUGGGGUACUCGAGUGGCGAACGGGUGAGUAACACGUGAGUAACCUACCCUUGACUUUGGGAUAACUUCAGGAAACUGGGGCUAAUACCGGAUAGGAGCUCCUGCUGCAUGGUGGGGGUUGGAAAGUUUCGGCGGUUGGGGAUGGACUCGCGGCUUAUCAGCUUGUUGGUGGGGUAGUGGCUCACCAAGGCUUUGACGGGGAGCCGGCCUGAGAGGGUGACCGGCCACAUUGGGACUGCGAUACGGCCCAGACUCCUACGGGAGGCAGCAGUGGGGAAUAUUGCACAAUGGGCGGAAGCCUGAUGCAGCAACGCCGCGUGCGGGAUGACGGCCUUCGGGUUGUAAACCGCUUUCGCCUGUGACGAAGCGUGAGUGACGGUAAUGGGUAAAGAAGCACCGGCUAACUACGUG
rnacentral:rRNA from 1 species